rnacentral:misc_RNA from 1 species
GUGAGUCAUCGAAUCUUUGAACGCACAUUGCGCCCGCUGGUAUUCCGGCGGGCACGCCUGUCCGAGCGUCAUUGCAACAAUCACGCCUUGCGUGGUGUUGGGGGCCGUCGCGUCAGCGACCCCCCCGGAACCCGUUGGCGGUGGCCUCUCGCCCCGAUCGUCGCGCAUGUUACGACGGUGUGGGGGGCCGCCCGCCGAACUCUUUUACGCUACGUUUGACCUCGGAUCAGGCGGGGAUACCCGCUGAACUUAAGCAUAUCAAUAAGCGGAGGA